CUUGAAGAACCUGACGACAGCAGCGCGCUAUUAUCAUCAAUUCUCAAAAGAGACACCGUUGUCCCUAUCGAGACUGAAAUUGAUGGAGAUAUUUUAUUGAACCUAACUGAGACUACGAAAGUUUAAAUAUUACCAAAAAUUAAGGAUUAAGUUAAAUUCAUAAGAUUGCAAGAAAACCUAAAGACUAUGAUGCCAGCAAGACCACAGACACCAUGAGACUUCUUAUUGAUAUUUCACCUGGAUCAAUCUCAAGAAAACAUAUUGCUUGUUUGUAGCAACAUAUUGUAGCAAUAAAAAAAAGACUUGAGAGAAGAGAUUUUUUUUCUUUGAAAGGACAGAGCAAACAAGAUCAAAAAUAAUUCAAGGUAUACAACAGGCGAACACAACAAGAUGUCUUCAGCCCUUGUUACCAAAUACCAGUUCUUGAGAGUAAAGACUGGCAGAGGAUGUGCUUAAAAACAAAUUCCAAAAAAGAAAGAUCACCUUUGAUCAUACCUGUCAAGUAUCCCGUUUUGGCCGGGAAAGUCCCGUAUUUUACCCUUCUUUCCCGCCGUCCUCCCGUAUUAGUAUUUUCCCGUAA